AGAAGACGUCGACCACAAAGUAACGAAUGUGCGUUUGGAGAAUCAUCAUCUUCUGCUAAACGAAUGAGGAUCAUCUCGCCAGGAGAAAAUAACGAAUCAUUUGCAGAUAGUCUUCUUAAUCUUCGUGAAGAAAGGCCAACAAAUAGUGUACUGAGUCCCACCUA